rnacentral:siRNA from 1 species
UGGAAAUUUAAGGGCCCAAAAGUC